rnacentral:misc_RNA from 1 species
GAAGGCUAGGGAGAAUGAGAGUGUG